rnacentral:lncRNA from 1 species
CCUCCUGCAAGCACACAGAUCCUCUCUUCUCUCCAUGUAGUCACUACUUGGGGAAGGGGAAUGGGUGGUGUCAGCAAUUCAAGACUGAUUUCUUUUCCCUCUUCAGCGCCCCUUUCCUUGAUAUGAUGUUAAAACCAGAACAAGAAACAGAUCAAGGAUGAGGCAGAGUAACAACAGUUGGGAAGAAGAUACAGUUUUGGGCCAAGGGAAAAGAGCUUCAUUAGCAUAUUUGUCAAGCAGAUGUGAAAUGAGGCAGAAAACUACUAGAACAAUUGGGAGAAAUCUAGAAUGUGAAGUUCCAGCACAAACUUAGAUGACUUCUAACUAUGUGAAGGUUUGAACAGCAACUUCUGACAUAGAAAAUAACCACAGCAAAAAAAAGCACUAACAAGUGACAGAUGUGGUUGACUCAUCUCCUUCUUCCUUCGACUCUCUAAUGAGCAAUUAAAUAGCCUGAAGCAGAACAAUCAAGAGGUCUGGCAAAUCCACACACUAGAUGACUGCCUUUUCACUUCACUGUGUCCUCAUGUGGAAGAGAGGAGAAGAGAGGAGAGGAGGGGAAGGGAGGGGAGGGGAGGGGAGGAGAGAGGCAAACUCUCUUGUGUUUCUUCUUACAAAGCACAAAUGCCAUUAUGAGGGCCCCACCCUCAGGACCUCAUCUAAUCCUAAUUUCCUCCCAAAAUUAAAUCUCAAAUGUCAUCACA